rnacentral:rRNA from 1 species
GACGAACGCUGGCGGCGUGCUUAACACAUGCAAGUCGAACGGAAAGGCCCUGCUUUUGUGGGGUGCUCGAGUGGCGAACGGGUGAGUAACACGUGAGUAACCUGCCCUUGACUUUGGGAUAACUUCUGGAAACUGGGGCUAAUACCGGAUAGGAGCUCCUGCUGCAUGGUGGGGGUUGGAAAGUUUCGGCGGUUGGGGAUGGACUCGCGGCUUAUCAGCUUGUUGGUGGGGUAGUGGCUUACCAAGGCUUUGACGGGUAGCCGGCCUGAGAGGGUGACCGGCCACAGUGGGACUGAGAUACGGCCCAGACUCCUACGGGAGGCAGCAGUGGGGAAUAUUGCGCAAUGGGCGGAAGCCUGAUGCAGCAACGCCGCGUGCGGGAUGACGGCCUUCGGGUUGUAAACCGCUUUCGCCUGUGACGAAGCGUGAGUGACGGUAAUGGGUAAAGAAGCACCGGCUAACUACGUG